rnacentral:misc_RNA from 1 species
ACUUGGUUCUAUGUAUUUCAUGGAUUUCCCUUGCAUUUUCUCUCUUCUUUUGUUGGAAUCUAUAUCUUAUUCGUUUAUUAUUGGUUUACUGAGGACUUCAUUCUUUCCUUCCUUCUAUAACCUAUCAAAUCAUCUCAUUUUGUGAUUAUUGUGUCUCUUGGCAACUUUUAUUUCACAUCGAUGCUGUAUUAGGCAAAAAAAUAUAUCUAAAAUUACAUAAAGAAUAAGUUGUUUUUCAAGAAAUUACAGGCAAUUAAAAUUUCUCAGAUUAUAGGAUCAUCAAUUGCAUCCUUAUUGGUCAUUGUACUUGGUUUGAGCAUUCAGUGGACAGCUUUGAUCACAUUCUUCCCUAUGAAAUUGUGAUCUAUACAACAUCAUCAGAAGUUCAUGGAAUAAUUCUUAUGGUUUAUUCAUUGACAAGAAUACAUGUAAUAUGAUAUUUCUUGCUCUAUAGUAUUUAUUUUAUGCAGACAAAAACCUAUAAUUGCGCUAUAAUUGCAUUGCAGAUGUUAAAUAUCUGAGCUGGA